rnacentral:rRNA from 1 species
GAUGAACGCUGGCGGCGUGCCUAAUACAUGCAAGUCGAGCGAACAGACGAGGAGCUUGCUCCUCUGACGUUAGCGGCGGACGGGUGAGUAACACGUGGAUAACCUACCUAUAAGACUUGGAUAACUUCGUGAAACCGGAGCUAAUACCGGAUAAUAUAUUGAACCGCAUGGUUCAAUAGUUCAAGACGGUUUUGCUGUCACUUUUAGAUGGAUCCGCGCCGCAUUAGCUAGUUGGUAAGGUAACGGCUUACCAAGGCAACGAUGCGUAGCCGACCUGAGAGGGUGAUCGGCCACACUGGAACUGAGACAUGGUCCAGACUCCUACGGGAGGCAGCAGUAGGGAAUCUUCCGCAAUGGGCGAAAGCCUGACGGAGCAACGCCGCGUGAGUGAUGAAGGUCUUCGGAUCGUAAAACUCUGUUAUUAGGGAAGAACAAAUGUGUAAGUAAAUAUGCACGUCUUGACGGUACCUAAUCAGAAAGCAACGGCUAACUACGUG